UAGAAGUGCUGACUCAAUUCAUUCCGUGCGAAAGCUGGGUUUUUUACCCGGCGUCUUUUGACGAACAACUGCCCUAUCAGCCAGCGAUGGCCGUGUAGUGGACUGCCAUGGCGUUGACGGGAGCGGGGGAUUAGGGUUCGAUUCCGGAGAGGGAGCCUGAGAAAUAGCUACCACUUCUACGGAGGGCAGCAGGCGCGCAAAUUGCCCAAUGUCAAAAAAAAACGAUGAGGCAGCGAAAAGAAAUAGAGCCGAGAGCGCCUUUGGCGUUGUCGUUUUCAAUGGGGGAUAUUUAAACCCAUCCAAAAUCGAGUAACAAUUGGAGGACAAGUCUGGUGCCAGCACCCGCGGUAAUUCCAGCUCCAAAAGCGUAUAUUAAUGCUGUUGCUGUUAAAGGGUUCGUAGUUGAACUGUGGGCCUUUGAGGCGCAUUGGUUUUGUCCCGUCCACUUCGGAUCGGUGACCCAUGCCCUUGAGGUCCGUGAACACACAGAACCAAGAAACACGGGAGUGGUACCUUCCUGAUUCUCGCAUGUCAUGCAUGCCAGGGGGCGCCCGUGAUUUUUACUGUGACU
rnacentral:rRNA from 1 species